rfam:Ilumatobacter coccineus YM16-304 DNA, complete genome.
GCCCUCGUAGCUCAGUUGGAUAGAGCGGUCGCCUCCUAAGCGAUAGGCCACAGGUUCGAUUCCUGUCGAGGGCG